UCCAGACUCCUACGGGAGGCAGCAGUGGGGAAUAUUGCACAAUGGGGGAAACCCUGAUGCAGCGACGCCGCGUGAGUGAAGAAGUAUUUCGGUAUGUAAAGCUCUAUCAGCAGGGAAGAAAAUGACGGUACCUGAUUAAGAAGCCCCGGCUAACUACGUGCCAGCAGCCGCGGUAAUACGUAGGGGGCAAGCGUUAUCCGGAUUUACUGGGUGUAAAGGGAGCGUAGACGGCAGCGCAAGUCUGGAGUGAAAUGCCGGGGCCCAACCCCGGAACUGCUCUGGAAACUGUGAAGCUGGAGUGCAGGAGAGGUAAGCGGAAUUCCUGGUGUAGCGGUGAAAUGCGUAGAUAUCAGGAGGAACACCGGCGGCGAAGGCGGCUUACUGGACUGUAACUGACGCUGAGGCUCGAAAGCGUGGGGAGCAAACAGGAUUAGAUACCCCUGUACCU
rnacentral:rRNA from 1 species